rnacentral:miRNA from 1 species
CACCCCCUCGCCGAUUGGCUACGU